rnacentral:sRNA from 1 species
GCUGCUCCCCCCAGGCGCACAGAUACCAGCAUCGCCUGCACCAUGCCUGAGGGGGCCCUGCCGGCUCCGGUGCCUGUGUGUGUGCGCUUCGAGCGUCGGGGCUGCGUGCACGGCAACCUCACCUUCUGGUACAUGCAGAACCCGGUCAUCAUGGCCAUCAGUCCCCGCCGCAGCCCUGUCAGGUGAGACUGGCACCCCGCCCUUCCCCCAGGCUCUCUGGGGCUGCAGGUGGACUGAUAGGUUUUGCUGUCCCCCGCAGUGGCGGCAGGACCAUCACAGUGGCUGGUGAGCGUUUCCACAUGGUGCAGAAUGUGUCCAUGGCCGUCCACCACAUUGGCCGGGAGCCCACGCUCUGCAAGGUUCUCAACUCCACCCUCAUCACCUGCCCGUCCCCCGGGGCCCUGAGCAACGCAUCAGCGCCAGUGGACUUCUUCAUCAAUGGGCGGGCCUACGCAGACGAGGUGGCUGUGGCUGAGGAGCUACUGGACCCCGAGGAGGCACAGCGGGGCAGCAGGUUCCGCCUGGACUACCUCCCCAACCCACAGUUCUCUACGGCCAAGAGGGAGAAGUGGAUCAAGCACCACCCCGGGGAGCCUCUCACCCUCGUUAUCCACAAGGAGCAGGACAGCCUGGGGCUCCAGAGUCACGAGUACCGGGUCAAGAUAGGCCAAGUAAGCU